AUUGGGAAACUGCAACUUAUUUUAGUUGUGAAUUUGCAGCUAUUGAUCACCUCACUAAAGCCUCUCCUCAGAGUCGUCCGACGCGCGCGCUUCAAGUUCAUUGCCAAGUGAUAAGCGCGAAUGGGGUGAUUAACUCGAAUUCGUUUUGUAUACUGAUAGCACAUCUCCAGACAAAUUUUGUAUAUACACAUACAUACAUUUAUUUAUUUACAUACAUACCUAUGCAUGUAUGUAUGUAAGCGUACUUGUGUCCGGACAUUUUCUGGUCGCGUGCAUAAACGUUCCGUUAGCUGAAUCAGUAUGUAUGUACAUACAUACAUACAUACAUUUUAAUGUUUGUGCGAGCGUAGAUUGGAAAUUUUCCAAUCAAUUUUGCUUUUGUUUUGUUAAUGCAGAAAUCAUAGAAAUCAACCAUCUAAUUAAUUAGCAUGCGAAACCCUACCAAGUACAUUUGCACAUGAAACAUUAAGAAUGAAGUCUAAUGAAGGCGCAAUAACUAGUCUGGGCCUGGAGACUGCAGGCUUUAGUGAAUAUUUUGGAACUCAUUUUCCCCACACAUGUAUGUACGUAAAUAUCUGUGUGAGUGUAUGUGUGUAUGCAUGGACACAUCCAUAUGCUUGUUGUAUGGAUGUAUGCACGCGGAAUACAUACCUAAAAAUCAGGCGAUUCCUCGACAGCUGUUUUCUGAGGCUAUAGCAACAGCUUUCCCGGGCUAUGCGAAUGACAAGAGUAAGCGGUUUUGUGUUGGAUAUUUUUGUUAUAAAUCAGCCGUUGAGAUCAAAGCCAGGAGAGUAAUUGUUUUGAUUAAAUUUGUUCACUUCAAGCACAUUUCUUAACAACAGCGUAUUUUGUUUUUUAUUUAUUCUUCAAGCUUAAUAUUUUAUACACUUUGAUUGAUGCAAUUGAUGCAAAACACUUGUAACGGCGAAAUCGGCUUAUGGUUAAAACCUCCGUAAACUCUUGCGCGACCUAACGACGAAAUGUGAAUUACAAAUAGUCGCGGCAUCAGGUGAGCAGUGGCUUUUAUACGACGGCAGGGCUUGUGUUGGUGCCGAAAAAGCUUGUCUUUUGUGCGCAGUGAGAGCAAGAGAGGCGGCUGCGUCUGUCUGUUAUGCUAUUGGACUGUUGUUGAUGCGGGCUCUGCAAAAACGAUGCCCUUCAUACAAUUUUAUACAGCGUAAUUUAACUUUUUUUUUAAUUAUUGCGAGCUUUGGAUGUGUUAUACUUGAAAUUGGGCAGACAUCAGAAUCGCACCACUUUUUUUUUGGUUUUAAUUCAAAUUCAUGCGUACAUACAUGUACAUAUAUACAAAUAUAAGUACAUAUAAAUUUAUGCAUGUUUUCUUGAGCGCUUUCUAUUGAGCUAAACUCACUCAUAGACUGAUUUUUAUGAAUUAUUGCUUAUGUGUUGGUAUAUAUGUAUGCAUAUAUACUCGUAUGUAAAAAGGUGCACUGUUAAAAGGGCUUUUAUUAGUAAUGUUAUUAAAAUGCGCGCAGUUAUGUAAGUAUGUAUCAUAAUAUUAACUU